rnacentral:rRNA from 1 species
UGGAUCAUGUGUUUAAUUCGAUGAUACGCGAAGACCUUACCGGGUCUUGACAUCCCUUGCAAAGCUAUAGAGAUAUAGUGGAGGUUAAUCAAGGAGACAGGUGGUGCAUGGUUGUCGUCAGCUCGUGUCGUGAGAUGUUGGGUUAAGUCCCGCAACGAGCGCAACCCUUAUUGCUAGUUACCAUCAUUAAGUUGGGGACUCUAGCGAGACUGCCAGUGAUAAACUGGAGGAAGGUGGGGAUGACGUCAAAUCAUCAUGCCCCUUAUGACCUGGGCUACAAACGUGAUACAAUGGCUGAAACAAAGGGCAGCGAAGCAGUGAUGUGGAGCGAAACCCAAAAAAGCAGUCUCAGUUCGGAUUGAAGUCUGCAACUCGACUUCAUGAAGUCGGAAUCGCUAGUAAUCGCGGAUCAGCACGCCCGCGGUCGAAUACGUUCCGGCCUU